rnacentral:rRNA from 1 species
UCUACGGGGUGCAGCAGUGAGGAAUAUUUGUCAAUGGACGCAAGUCUGAACCAGCCAUGCCGCGUGCAGGAAUACGGCUCUAUGAGUUGUAAACCGCUUUUGUACGAGGGCAAAGGCAGAUACGUGUAUCUCUCUGAGAGUAUCCUACGAAUAAGGAUCGGCUAACUCCGUGCCAGCAGCCGCGGCAAUAAGGAGGAUUCAAGCGUUAUCCGGAAUUAUUGGGUUUAAAGGGGGCGUAGGCGGUCGGAUAAGUGAGAGGUGAAAUCCCGGGGCUCAACUUCGGAAUUGCAUAUGAUACUGGUCGUCUAGAGAGUUGUUGCGGUAAGCGGAAUGUAUGGGGUAGCGGUGAAAUGCGUAGAGAUC